UCAAAGGAAAAUGUGUUGACCAAAUGAUUUUUUCUUGAGCGUUGAAUCUUGAAACAACUGACAAUCGCUUGAAUUUAAUUUUAGCCAAUAAUGACAGUUGACAGUUCCUAUUUCAAAUAAAAAGUGAGUUAAAUUAUUUUUACUUAAAUUAAUAUGUAAUAUUUUUAGUGAUAAUAAAAAAAAGUUGACUUUUAUUGCUCUUUCGAAAAAAUAUUUACCUCCGCGACUGCCGUGCGUUGUUGAACUUUGUGAGUCGAAUUAGUUAUGAAUUUGUGAGAUUUGUGUUGUCAAAAGCUAACUGAAGCCGUGGUUUGUUUAUAAGUGAGUCGGUAUUUAUUGAACUAACAUUUCAUAAAUACCACAAAGUCGUUAAAAUUAUGUAAAUAGAAAACUCAUAUCGUGACGAUAAGAAACAUAUUUUAGAGUCCAGAAAAUUUUAUAAAAUAAUGCGUUUAAUUUGGUUUAUUUUACAAAAUCGGAAUAAUGCAGAAAAAAUGAAACGUUUUAGUUUGUUCUUUUUUUUGGCCGAAUGGACUCGGUCCAAGCCGUUAAUCUCUUAGAAAAAAAAUCAAGCAAGUGAAUUAUGCACAGGAAAUAAGUAUUCAUUUUGUGGAGGGUAGGAGAACGGAAAACAUGGUGAGUUUUAUGACGAUCUGUAAUAAUUUUUUAGUUUUAAAGUUAAUGGAUUUACAUUUUGGAGGUUUUUUUUAGUUUUGUGAUGUGUAGUGUAGCGAUAUUUGUGUUGAAAUAACGAAACAAUGAAAUAUAACAUGCAGCUUUAAUAAAUUUUCAUUCGUCUUGCUGUAUCAACUUUGGACUCGAAACCGCAUUCGACUUUUGGAAUCAUGUAGGAAAGUCAUUUAUCUAAGACAUCCAAUAACUACUUACUAACAAAUUAUUACUCGAUAUUCGAAGUAACGACGUGUAAAAAGUGCUUUUUAAACUGCAUUUUUGUCACCUGCAAGAAAACUGCCAAUCACAUUGUAAAUCGGUGUGCAGCUGUAAUUGAAGAAUUGCAGUCUGUCUAAGUAUAUUUUGGAUUGAAUUGAUAACAUAUUCAUGUUUUUUUUUCUAGGAAAUUAAGAUUUACAAUGCGCAACGCCCAACCUACUGUUUCAACGACUGAAAAUAAAUACGUUCGUGGUGGAUUACCUGGAAAAUCUUUUACUGAAAGGUAACCUCGGCGCAAAAUUUCCCCGGCAUCUUUAUCCACAUCCAGUUUUCCAUUGGCUGUUGCUGCUGCGGCUGCUGCUGCUGCUGCUUCUAUCUUGGGAAUCGUUGAGUCAAUCUUACCUGAGCCGUCGG